rnacentral:rRNA from 1 species
GAUGAACGCUGGCGGCGUGCCUAAUACAUGCGAGUCGAGCGAACAGACGAGGAGCUUGCUCCUCUGACGUUAGCGGCGGACGGGUGAGUAACACGUGGAUAACCUACCUAUAAGACUGGGAUAACUUCGGGAAACCGGAGCUAAUACCGGAUAACAUAUUGAACCGCAUGGUUCAAUAGUGAAAGACGGUCUUGCUGUCACUUAUAGAUGGAUCCGCGUCGCAUUAGCUAGUUGGUAAGGUAACGGCUUACCAAGGCAACGAUGCGUAGCCGACCUGAGAGGGUGAUCGGCCACACUGGAACUGAGACACGGUCCAGACUCCUACGGGAGGCAGCAGUAGGGAAUCUUCCGCAAUGGGCGAAAGCCUGACGGAGCAACGCCGCGUGAGUGAUGAAGGUCUUCGGAUCGUAAAACUCUGUUAUUAGGGAAGAACAAAUGUGUAAGUAACUAUGCACGUCUUGACGGUACCUAAUCAGAAAGCCACGGCUAACUACGUG